rnacentral:pre_miRNA from 1 species
UCUUAUGGAUGAGCAAAGAAAGUAGUUUCUUGAGAUGGCAUCUACUGCUGUUGAAGAUGUUGAAAU